rnacentral:rRNA from 1 species
UACGGAGGGGGCAAGCGUUAUUCGGAAUUACUGGGCGUAAAGCGCGCGCAGGUGGUGCGGUAAGUGGCAGGUGAAAGCCCUUGGCUUAACCAAGGAACUGCCUGCCAAACUGCUGCGCUGGAGGCCGGGAGGGGAGAGCGGAAUUCCUGGUGUAGCGGUGAAAUGCGUAGAUACCAGGAGGAACACCGGUGGCGAAGGCGGCUCUCUGGACCGGUUCUGACACUCAUGCGCGAAAGCGUGGGGAGCAAACAGG